UGGAAAUGUUCUGUUUUUUAACAUAAGUGUCUCAAGGAAAAAUAAAUGUAAUAUUUUUUAUAGUUAUUUGAGAGUAAGAGCUUAUUCUUUUUGUUUCAUUUAUUAAUCAUACAUUUGUCUUUUUCUGUCAUCACAAGGAUACUGACCCAGAAGAGGAGAAGACAAGGUGUCUCAUUGUGGGGAUACUUUCUGUGAUGGAGGAUCAAAGUUCCGCUCCUGCAAGACUUCAAAAUGUAGCUGUGGUUUUAGAAGAACAUAUCGUCUUACAAGACCUCCCUCCCUUUUCAUUGAAAUUUGAGGAUUAGAGUUCCCCCGGCUCAAUGUUUGGCGUCCAUGUUAUUGGCUUGGAGCAUAGAGUUUUGCUUCCAAAUUGGCAUUUUUGAACCACUAAUAUUGCUAAAAAUAGCACCAAACCUCUGCAGUAUCAUGACUAGGGUCCCUACACAUAAAACGAAGCACCAACAACUUAGUGAGCAAACCUAGAGUUUAUUUAAAAAGGCAGUUUAACAAGCAUUACCGGUAGGUCCGUGUUUACAGGACGUCCACACAAGUCCAGUGUUUCCCCUAUAUGCAUUCAGCAGCGGCGGUAUGCCGCUUCUGAAAUAUGACCGCCGCUGCUGAAUAUAUAUAUUUUUUUUUUAACAAGAGGAAAAAACUAAUGUUAUUUUAUCUUUGCGCUACGGACGCUUCAUAGCAUAUCUCCUACUAGACAGGACAGGCUGUGAGGCAGGGAAGCUCAGAUGUGAGUGGAGGCCAGAGCAGAUGAAGUGAAGGAGAAGCAGGACAGGAGCAAAGUGCAGUUGUUGCUGCACCAGGAGGACCAGAAAGAGCAGGGCCAAUUAGAGCAAGAGUACCUACAGCACCGAGUACUCAUAGGCAAUCUGGUUUUGAUCCGUUGUGGAUGGAGAACCCAAGAUUCAAGCCUUGGCUGUACUAUACAGCUGACCAUGGAAUGUACUGCCGAUUGUGCCGUCAACACAAACAAGCACCAAAGCGGGGGCCGUCACACGGCCAUUUAUUGAGGUUGGGUGCCAGCUUUUCCGAAGUGACUACCUGGACAAGCACGCGGCCACUCAACACCAUCAAGACAGUGUGAAGACACACGCUGCACUGAUUCAAGGGUCCUCAGUGCUGGUUGCCUUUGACCCCGUGAUGAACACGAGGCCAUGAUUGGUGGCUUCAAGUGCCUCUACCACCUCACAAAAAAGGAACAGGCUCAUCAUACAAAUUACGCUGACCUUCUGGAGCUCGCUGAACUUCUUGGCUGCCAGUAUUUUGAAAAGUUAAAGGUAAAUAUUAAUGCUUGCCUUUCUUUACUCAACAUCAUCACAAAGUUUGUAAUAUUUAAUCUAAGCUCAUUUGUUCUCUUUACCCAGGUGAAAAAGUAGUAUACUUUAGUGUAUUACAAGCACAAUUCAAUUAUACAAAAGUUAGUACAAGUAUACUUUUACUUUUUGUGCUUAAUUUAAAGUAUACUUAACGUAACUUUUAAAAAGUGUACUUCACAAUAGAUGUCAUUAAAUUCAAC